GCGUGCUUUGACUUUUAACAUAAUAUUUCUUUAAAAAUAACACGUUGGGUCAACAUGGAAGAAUUUUUGCGAAGUGUUAGUGACAAGUUUUUUGUUAGACCAGGAACAACUUGAUUAUAUCGACAUCUAGAAAGUAUAGUUUUUCAGACUACCACUGGACAGGGAAGAUCAUAAAAAUUAAGCAACAGUGAAAACCGCAAUUAUGUCUUAAGAAAGGCGGUAGGUCCCAAGACCCUACCAUAAAUAAAAUCUCCGUUGCUAUUGUGUUGCAUUCGGGGCUUCGCCAGGUCCGUAUUCACCAAGUUUUAGUGAACUAAUGAUAAAAACAUUUAAACUGGUUUGAUA